rnacentral:rRNA from 1 species
GUAGGUGGCAAGCGUUGUCCGGAAUUAUUGGGCGUAGAGCGCGCGCAGGUGGUUCUUUAAGUCUGAUGUGAAAGCCCCCGGCUCAACCGGGGAGGGUCAUUGGAAACUGGGGAACUUGAGUGCAGGAGAGGAAAGUGGAAUUCCACGUGUAGCGGUGAAAUGCGUAGAUAUGUGGAGGAACACCAGUGGCGAAGGCGACUUUCUGGCCUGUAACUGACACUGAGGCGCGAAAGCGUGGGGAGCAAGCAGGGAUUAGAUACCCUGGUAGUCCACGCCGUAAACGAUGAGUGCUAAGUGUUGGGGGGGUUUUCCGGCCCCCCCUCAGUGCUGCAGCUAACGCAUUAAGCACUCCGCCUGGGAGUACGGUCGCAAGACUG